GACGAACGCUGGCGGCGUGCUUAACACAUGCAAGUCAAGGGGGCCCAGCAAUGGGCAACCGGCGAACGGGUGCGUAACACGUGAGCAACCUACCGAACUGUGGGGGAUAGCCGGCCUAACGGCCGAGUAAUACCGCAUACGCUCUCAGGGAGGCAUUUCUUUGAGAGGAAACCUACGGGACAGAUCGAGGGGCUCGCGGCCUAUCAGCUAGUUGGCGAGGUAACGGCUCACCAAGGCAACGACGGGUAGCUGGUCUGAGAGGACGAUCAGCCACACUGGGACUGAGACACGGCCCAGACUCCUACGGGAGGCAGCAGUGGGGAAUCUUGCGCAAUGCGCGAAAGCGUGACGCAGCAACGCCGCGU
rnacentral:rRNA from 1 species